rnacentral:tRNA from 1 species
GGCAUUGUAGCUCAAUGGUAGAGCAUUCGGCUGUUAACCGAAGGGUUGUUGGUUCGAGUCCUGCCAAUGUCG